rnacentral:rRNA from 1 species
AACGACUCUCGACAACGGAUAUCUUGGCUCUCGCAUCGAUGAAGAACGUAGCGAAAUGCGAUACUUGGUGUGAAUUGCAGAAUCCCGUGAACCAUUGAGUCUUUGAACGCAAGUUGCGCCCGAAGCCACUAGGCCGAAGGCACGCCUGCUUGGGUGUCACGC